rnacentral:rRNA from 1 species
UACGUAGGGUGCAAGCGUUGUCCGGAAUUAUUGGGCGUAAAGGGCUCGUAGGCGGUUUGUCGCGUCGGGAGUGAAAACUCAGGGCUUAACCCUGAGCCUGCUUCCGAUACGGGCAGACUAGAGGUAUGCAGGGGAGAAUGGAAUUCCUGGUGUAGCGGUGAAAUGCGCAGAUAUCAGGAGGAACACCAAUAGCGAAGGCAGCUCGCUGGGACGGUAUUGACGCUAAGGCGCGAAAGCGUGGGGAGCAAACAGG